rnacentral:rRNA from 1 species
UACGAAGGGAGCUAGCGUUGUUCGGAAUCACUGGGCGGAAAGCGCACGUAGGCGGAUGUGUCAGUCAGGGGUGAAAUCCCGGAGCUCAACUUCGGAACUGCCCUUGAUACAGCACGUCUUGAGUCCGGAAGAGGUGGGUGGAAUUCCUAGUGUAGAGGUGAAAUUCGUAGAUAUUAGGAAGAACACCGGUGGCGAAGGCGGCCCACUGGUCCGGUACUGACGCUGAGGUGCGAAAGCGUGGGGAGCAAACAGG